UAUUGUAAGAUGAACUGCGUGCUCUAAGAAUGGGUGAGUUGCAUGAGCCCCUCCAGAUUAGUGAUUCUCUACCUAACCUAGGCCCGCAGCAACUCUGAGAAGGAAAGGGGGAGAGGGAUGGGAGACAGCAUCUCCCUUCAAUCAGGAGUCCAGCUUUGGCCAAACACCUCCUUACAGUAUUUGGCGAUCUUUAUGUACAAAAUAUUUAUAUACAAUAUAUCCUACAAAGAUGGAAGGAAGGGGCUUAAUCAUGUGGAUGAAGAUGAAAGUGCUUUCACCCAUACACUUUAGGCAUAUGGAGAGAUUUGGUGCUGGAACAAUGAAAUGAUUUCCAGGCUUCUGAAAUUCAUUCCCUAAGAGUUAUCCAUACAUGCUGUGAAAUUUGGUGGUUGGUGACAUAAGCCACAAACUCUAGGGAGUGAUUUCACAUUUCACCUGGGCCUGAAGCAACUCUAAAAAGGACAAGGGAAAUGGGUCUUGGGAGAGAGUAUCUCCCUUCAAUCAGUGGUCCAGAUGCAGUCAAAUACCCAGUUAGAUAUUUGGAUAUUUGGCAACAUGCACACACGCACACACACGCGCGCGCGUAUUUACAUUAUGCCCUACCAAGAUGAAAGGAAGGGAUUUAGUCAUGCUGAUGAGGAUAAAAGUUUCCUUUAUACACUUCUGGCAGAUGGGGAGAUGUAGUGCUGAACUAAUUAUAUGAUCUCUCUAGACUUUCAAAAUGUAUCUCCUAAAAGUCAUCCUCCACAUAUUCUGUAAUGGGUGUUGGUGAUAGGAGCCUGUGAGUCCAGGUGUGGACACAUACAGAGAAUGGCCAAGAAGGAAGAGGAAACAGUUACUCACAUGGGAAAGAUGCAUGGCUAUUUGUUGGACAAAAAGGCAAAAGUCUCAAAUUGAAAGGGACAAAAUCACUUGAGCAACCUGUCAAACGAGUCUCUCCCCAAGAAAUGAACAAAAUGUGAUAUUUCCAGUCAGAAAAUAACAAUUCUGGGUAUCCACAGUAUAGAGAUCACUGUUCUCAGCAGUGUAGGGCCAUGGGAGCGAGAGGCAGCAAAAAGGGGCACCUGAUUAAAUCAUCACUUGUUUACCUGGAGCUUAGUUAUGGCAGCUCACGCCAGUGCUGGAUUCUCAGCAGGCCUUCAUUUUGGUGCAGCUGCCUGCUGCAAUGAUGCUAAAUUGGUCUCAGCUGCUGGCCCUUCCUGAGGAAACUGUCAUAGAGAUUAUUUUAUUUCAAACCCUUCACUGUACAGAUGAGGAAACUUGAGGUCUACUUCUAACAGUCUAUGAGUCAAUGAAGAAAAUCUGGAUGGAAGAGAAGUUUUGAGUCUGAAUUUCCUUCAUUGGAAUAAAGCAAAUAAUUUUUCCAGUUGCUUUAGAACUUAACACUCUUUCCUAUUAUAAGUAAAGAGAAGCCAUUUCAGAGGCAUACUGCUAGAUGAAAGCUGAAAAAUUACAGAAAUCCACCCCUAGAUGACUGAGGACGAGAGAUGAGGUUUGAUGCUUCAGAGGGAUUUAAGAGAGCAGACUUUAUAUUUCAAGGUCUUCUUCACAUGCAUUCUAAAAAGCUACUCUAU